GUUUAUUGCCAGUACAACUUGCAGAGAGGGGACCAGCUUGGUGCCAGAGCUCACUGCUGCUUACAGGCUGGGGUAAUUACAGGUCUGGGCAGGAGGGGUCUGGGCCCGUAUGGCUUGCUGCCCAGGAGGAUGUUGAUAAAGAUGUUCCUUGGGCCUUUGCCCAGCAGGAUGUGAUAAGGAAGUCAGGUGGCUGGGCAGGAUGUUUCUCACAGCCCAGGGCCCCAUGGAAUCUUUCAUUCUGACCAGGGUCUGUGAAAUGGCAGGGACUUGCAAAAUGGUGCAGCUUGGACUAACAAUUAUUAUUAAUCCUAAAGGGAGAAGGAGAUUCAGCAAGAAUGGUGAAAGGAGAAUUAUAAGUAGGGCUUCUCGUUUCAUGAUCAAUAUCUGAUGGGGGGGGGUAAGUACAGGGGCAGUCAGGAUUGGAGGGUCUGGCAAACAGGUCAGCUGAAUCAGUGUCUACUAAUGAGGCAGGAGCCAGGAUCCACAUGAUGAAAGUGGCCACAGUCAGGAAGUCUGAAAUUUUCUCAGCAGAAAGGGAGAAAGAACAGGCAGGCUGAGUGGCCCUGCUGUCUGAAGGGGCCUCAGUUUUAUCCUCCAACGCCUUGGGGCUCCACUGGUGCUCACCUCUCUUCUCCAAGCCUAGGUCUUCAGCAGUGACUAUACAGGAAACCUAGGGGGCAGAGGUAGCUCUCCUCCACCCAACAAUAGCGGCAGUGGCAGCAGCAGGAGUACUGGAAUUUGGAGUUACAGAGCUCACAGCUGUUAGAUGUGUUUGGAAAGUUCCUUCUUGAGAGUGUCUGGAAGCUUUUUCUCCCUGUGUCUUGUCUGACUUUAGUGAGGCUGGAGAUCUGGGUGAAUGGCCUCCAUCAACAUCUUCCUUCGCCCACCUCUCCAGUAGCAGAGUGCAGAUAAGACUGGACGGGACAGCCCUGCUGAACCCACGGCAGACCUCCAAAGAGGUCUGUAUAAGCUGGCGAUGUCACUGACUUUGGCAAAUGGGCUCAGAGAAGAUGCUUUCUUACUCAAGGUGUCUUCUGGGUGUUUGGAACAGAGGCUUCCUUUCAGGAGUCCAGGACUGUACUGGAAGGAAGUGACCACAAGAUGACACCGUUGAUCUUCCAGACACUCCCGCUGUUAUGAGGGUGAGGGGGGAGCCCUUCUCUAAUUAUCCUUCUUUUGCUACUUUUUCCCUCUGCCUUAGCUUUUCCUUUCCUGCACUCUCCUGGGGACUUCAACUCAGUCUUUCUGAGGCAAGUAUGGAGGGGAGGACAGGGUGGCCCAGCUUCGUAGAGAUCACUACCUGCUCAAACCCCAAACAGAAAGGAGUCAUUUGCAGCCUGGAGGAGGACUCUACCAUUCCAAGAUAUUCAGCUGAACACCCUAGUAGUGCUAGCCGGCAGCAGUGGCUCCUGAGACCUCCACACCAGAGUCCCGCACACAUUCAAGGCCACCACCUCCUUCAUGCUCCUCUGUGAUCACCUCUCCAAGUCCCGGUGUCAGGAGCCUUCUCUGUGGCCGCCCUGGAGAGACUUGAGCCUGGGACGUGACGUGCUGGGCUGUGAAGCUUUCUGAGAAGGGAAACCUGUGGCCUGACCUGCCUGAAUGCUGCACCCAACCUCAUCUCUUCCUGGGAGAAACCAACAACUGUCAGCAUUGACACCAUCAGGCCUUUCUCUUCUAAUUUAACCUUGCAGCCAACCACACGGCUAUCUGUGCGGGAUCUCUCCCCAAGCUCAAGGACAUGAGAUGCGGAUCAGGCCCAAGAGGCUGGAUGCCAAACCUAUCCUCUCCAUGUGAAGCACCAACUUGGGGGUGUCAACUAAAAAUAUGAGACCCGUAAACUUGGAAAGGAAGACUUUAUUUCUUGAGAAGGGUUGCAAACUGCAGGCUGGGAAGUGGCACCUCCAGCUGAGACCACAAACAGUGGACUUUCUCAAACUGGGGUAUUGACCUCUGAUGAACCGCCAUGCAAACCCGUGCCUUUCAACAUAAAAAGAAGCCCUUCGAGGUGCUCACCUUCAAGCUUGCUAGAGGAGGAGGAAGAGCAGGUUGAGUUUGACAUAACUAGAAUGGGUUGAGCCUUUCCAGCAGAGUAAGGUUCUUUCAUGGUGGACAGUGGCCACCCACUGCCAUUUCUACAAGAAGAUUUUGCUUCUUAGGCACUGAGUUCCUGGUUCUUUCACUAGAGAAAAAUGAGUAGGUUGGCAAUCCAGUACUUCCAUCUUCUGUGAAGACCUGGGCAGGCAACGGGGGCUUGGGGGCGGGGGCAGGGACCAAAGACAAGGCUGCCAUUUGCUGUGCCCACCACAGAGGGACAUUUACUCCACCUGAAGCACAAGUAUUUUCUCAGUGAUGUUGGCUCCUACAAAGUCAAAAGGGGUAGGCUCCCUGGCUUACGCUCCAGGAGUUUGGACUGAAAGGGACACUAAAAGUGUCUUCCUCUAAGUUUAUGAUGUUGCCCUCCUCUGGCUACAACAGUGCUCUGGCCAUAAGCAUCCCAGGUUCUCUGAAUGAUGGUGGGUAUGGAAAUGUUCCCAAACACAGGUAUGGCGGUGUCCCCUCCCACUGUACCAAUCUAUGCCCAGGGCUGGAAGGUCCGUGGUGCUCUGAACUGGAUUCAUAAACAGUAGCAUCUCCAACCACAAGUGUGGUGUCAGGCCCUCCAACAGUAGCACAUGUGCUCCCGUGGGUGCCUGAUAGAAAGUGGGAACAUGUGUUUAUUAGCCAGGUGGGCCCCAAAUGCUCUGACGAGGUGCAGAAAGAGGACUCUUUGUCACAGUUGUGCUGUGCCCUCCCAUUGCAACACAUGUGCUCUGAACAGGUGGAGCCCAGGUGCUUUGCAUGUAGGCGGACACAAGAGGGCCUCUAAGCACAAGUGUGGUGUUGGAACCCUCAAGGCUACCGAUGCAUUCUGGCCAGGUGUGUCCCAGGUGGUCUGACUAUAGACAGCAACAGAAUUAUCUCCAGCACCGUUAUAGAGAUACCCGUCCAACUGAUGUGCUCUAGCGGGAUGGGACCCGGGUGAUCCGAACACAAGGAGGAACAGAAGUUUAUUCUGAUAUAUGCUCCUUCUUAGCGAUGUUAUCUCCUUCAAUAGUAACAGGUAUGCUUUGGCUGGGUGGGCCUCAGUCACUCUGUAGCCAGGAAGGAAAGGGCUCCCAAAACAGAUUUCUGCUCCGUAGAGCUGAUCUUCCCUCAUUGCAACAGGGAUGCUAUAGGCAGGCAGGACCUGGUGCUCAGGUCUAAGCCCUUCCUAGAAUAAGUUGUGGUUCUGAGUGUUGUCAGCCCUUCUGCAGAUUUCAAUGACCCCUGACAAGGAGCCAGGGUUUGG
rnacentral:lncRNA from 1 species